UACAGAGGGUGCGAGCGUUAAUCGGAAUUACUGGGCGUAAAGCGUGCGUAGGUGGUCUGUUAAGUCUGAUGUGAAAGCCCUGGGCUCAACCUGGGAAUGGCAUUGGAUACUGGCAGGCUAGAGUGCGGUAGAGGAUGGCGGAAUUCCCGGUGUAGCAGUGAAAUGCGUAGAGAUCGGGAGGAACAUCUGUGGCGAAGGCGGCCAUCUGGACCAGCACUGACACUGAGGCACGAAAGCGUGGGGAGCAAACAGG
rnacentral:rRNA from 1 species